CUAUUUAUGAAAUGUUUAGUUCAAGUCUCUUCUUAGUUUUCUUUCGAGUUAUUUCGUUAUAUUACUCCUGCAGUAACUUAUGCUUCAUCUUCCAUCAAAUAGUCUCGCUUUCGAAUCUUUAAUUAAUAACGAGGUAUUUAUGUCUAAUAAGACUACAGGUUCAGUAAAAUGGUUUAACGAAACUAAAGGUUUCGGUUUCAUUACUCCAGACAACGGUGGCGCGGACGUGUUCGUACACUUCAAUGCUAUCGCUUCAGAAGGUUUCAGAACCUUGACUGAAGGCCAAAAAGUAACGUUCAACGUAGAGCAGGGCGCGAAAGGUCCUCAAGCUGCAAACGUUCAAACUGCAU
rnacentral:sRNA from 1 species